rnacentral:rRNA from 1 species
GAAAGAUGGCUUUGGCUAUCACUCUGGGAUGGACCUGCGGUGCAUUAGCUAGUUGGUAAGGUAACGGCUUACCAAGGCGAUGAUGCAUAGCCGAGUUGAGAGACUGAUCGGCCACAAUGGAACUGAGACACGGUCCAUACUCCUACGGGAGGCAGCAGUAGGGAAUCUUCCACAAUGGGCGCAAGCCUGAUGGAGCAACACCGCGUGAGUGAAGAAGGGUUUCGGCUCGUAAAGCUCUGUUGUUGGAGAAGAACGUGCGUGAGAGUAACUGUUCACGCAGUGACGGUAUCCAACCAGAAAGUCACGGCUAACUACGUGCCAGCAGCCGCGGUAAUACGUAGGUGGCAAGCGUUAUCCGGAUUUAUUGGGCGUAAAGCGAGCGCAGGCGGUUGCUUAGGUCUGAUGUGAAAGCCUUCGGCUUAACCGAAGAAGUGCAUCGGAAACCGGGCGACUUGAGUGCAGAAGAGGACAGUGGAACUCCAUGUGUAGCGGUGGAAUGCGUAGAUAUAUGGAAGAACACCAGUGGCGAAGGCGGCUGUCUGGUCUGCAACUGACGCUGAGGCUCGAAAGCAUGGGUAGCGAACAGGAUUAGAUACCCUGGUAGUCCAUGCCGUAAACGAUGAGUGCUAGGUGUUGGAGGGUUUCCGCCCU